CUCAGUGGCGCUUCUCCAUGCAGGACGUGGGAGGAACGCACUCCUUAAACAGGAAUCGGUGCCUCACCGGUCACUGAGCUGGCAAGCUAAAGUUAUCUUGUUAGUCACAGAAAUGCCCUCCAUUCCCAAACCUGAAGCCCCCUGUCCCGAGCAGGAAAGACCAGGAAAAGUGUUGGUUUAAUUAAGAACUGCCAACCUGCUCGGUGGGUGACAGAUCUGACACCCCUAUUAGCUCAACCACAGUCUUCACAGCUGCAGUCGUCUGCCCCUGCAUCUGCUACACCGGCCACGACAGGUGAUACAGGUCUGCCAACCCCCAGCAGUUCAGCUGCUGUCACAGCAGUCCUCUGCUGUAGUAUUUAAUUUACCGGCUGCACCAGUUCCUACUACACUGGGAGUGAAGGGAGAAACUUUUGAGGAUACCCAGAUGGAUACAUAUCUGCCAUGCACUUCACCACUGCCUGACAGCCUCACCCAGAAGUGCAUACACUGGGCCUAUCAAGACUGACAAAGCAGAGAUGGGUGGCUGACAAGGAAAAAUAAAAUAACAUGCACUCACACACAUUAUCCACAAAGUAAAUAAGUUGUAAUUACUUGUUUAUUUAAUGUUUGCUCCAUUUUAUUUUCAGAUUGGAGAUAUCUACUCCUUCAUAACCAAUAUCUACAUAAUUACUGUAAAUAUCUAUCAAAUCAAAGUGUGAAUGAUAAUAUUGUAAAAGACUAUGGCUUAAUGUUUACAGUUUGAGGAAAUUCUGUGUGCUUUUUUCAGAGUUGAAAAACAUGUCUCCCUCUCACAAACGCACAUUAGACCCAAUGUAAAUAAAUUGUAAUAAGUUGUUUGUUGUAUGUAUGCUACAUUUUAUUUGAGGAAAAUAUCUGCAAUAAAGUACAUUCACAGUUAAA